GCCAUGGGCAUCUGUGGUGGUUGAAAGCUCCGGCGGUGAAGGAUGAGCCCGCGGCCUAUCAGCUUGUUGGUGAGGUAACGGCUCACCAAGGCGACGACGGGUAGCCGGCCUGAGAGGGCGACCGGCCACACUGGGACUGAGACACGGCCCAGACUCCUACGGGAGGCAGCAGUGGGGAAUAUUGCACAAUGGGCGCAAGCCUGAUGCAGCGACGCCGCGUGAGGGAUGACGGCCUUCGGGUUGUAAACCUCUUUCAGCAGGGAAGAAGCGAAAGUGACGGUACCUGCAGAAGAAGCGCCGGCUAACUACGUGCCAGCAGCCGCGGUAAUACGUAGGGCGCAAGCGUUGUCCGGAAUUAUUGGGCGUAAAGAGCUCGUAGGCGGCUUGUCACGUCGGGUGUGAAAGCCCGGGGCUUAACCCCGGGUCUGCAUUCGAUACGGGCAGGCUAGAGUGUGGUAGGGGAGAUCGGAAUUCCUGGUGUAGCGGUGAAAUGCGCAGAUAUCAGGAGGAACACCGGUGGCGAAGGCGGAUCUCUGGGCCAUUACUGACGCUGAGGAGCGAAAGCGUGGGGAGCGAACAGGAUUAGAUACCCUGGUAGUCCACGCCGUAAACGGUGGGAACUAGGUGUUGGCGACAUUCCACGUCGUCGKGCCGCAGCUAACGCAUUAAGUUCCCGCCUGGGGGAGUACGGCGCAGGCUAAACUCAAGGAAUGACGGGGGCCGCACAGCAGCGGAGCAUGUGGCUA
rnacentral:rRNA from 1 species